rnacentral:rRNA from 1 species
CCUACGGGUGGCAGCAGUGAGGAAUAUUGGUCAAUGGGCGUAUGCCUGAACCAGCCAAGUCGCGUGAGGGAUGAAGGUUCUAUGGAUCGUAAACCUCUUUUAUAAGGAAAUAAAGUGCGGGACGUGUCCCGUUUUGUAUGUACCGUAUGAAUAAGGAUCGGCUAACUCCGUGCCAGCAGCCGCGGUAAUACGGAGGAUCCGAGCGUUAUCCGGAUUUAUUGGGUUUAAAGGGUGCGUAGGCGGAAUGCCAAGUCAGCGGUAAAAUCGCGGGGCUCAACCUCGCUCCGCCGUUGAAGCUGGCGUUCGUGAGUGGGCGAGAAGUAUGCGGAAUGCGUUGUGUAGCGGUGAAAUGCAUAGAUAUCACGCAGAACUCCGAUUGCGAAGGCAGCAUACCGGCGCCCAACUGACGCUGAAGCACGAAAGCGUGGGUAUCGAACAGGAUUAGAUACCCUGGUAGUC